rnacentral:rRNA from 1 species
GACGAAGGAUGCAAGCGUUAUCCGGAUUCAUUGGGUUUAAAGGGCGCGUAGGCGGAUUUGUAAGUCAGUGGUGAAAUCUCUUCGCUUAACGAAGAAACUGCCAUUGAUACUGCAGAUCUUGAGUACAGUUGCCGUUGGCGGAAUAUGACAUGUAGUGGUGAAAUACUUAGAUAUGUCAUAGAACACCGAUUGCGAAGGCAGCUAACGAAGCUGUAACUGACGCUGAGGCUCGAAAGUGAGGGGAUCAAACAGG